UGUCCCUUCGGGGACAUCCCGAUAAAAUUGGAUACAGAGAAGAUUAGGCUGGAGUGUGUGGUUGGAGCCCCUAGGGGCUUUAUCAGGCCACGUAAGCAUCACCUAGGAUCCACCUCAGCCAUAAGGCUUUAUCACGCCCUUCUUUAACUUGCAUGGUGUGUAUGAGCCCCUAUUAAAAAAAUAAAAAAAAAAAACAAAAGAUUUCAUUGGGUGAAAUGACAUGAGCCUUACCUGAUAAAGCCCUUCGAGCUCGUUACCAUGACGGAGUCCCAUCAAUGGCGCCCCUUCUUAAAAUGGUGGGUGUAUAGCGCCGGGGGGCGCUAUAGAGUGUGAGGUGGCGAGGGUGGCGCCCCCACGGCCCACACCCUCCGGCCUUAGCAUGGCCCCUGCGCAAGGUUGACACGCACAAAUCGAGAAAUUGUCUAAAUAUUU
rnacentral:snRNA from 2 species